rnacentral:rRNA from 1 species
UACGUAGGUGGCAAGCGUUGUCCGGAAUCACUGGGCGUAAAGCGCGCGCAGGCGGCCAAUUAAGUCUGGGGUGAAAGCCCGAAGCUCAACUUCGGGAUUGCCUUGGAUACUGGUUGGCUUGAGCAUCAGAGAGGCAAGGGGAAUUCCACGUGUAGCGGUGAAAUGCGUAGAGAUGUGGAGGAACACCAGUGGCGAAGGCGCCUUGCUGGCUGAUUGCUGACGCUGAGGCGCGAAAGCGUGGGGAGCAAAC